GAGGGUAUAGCUCAGUGGUAGAGUGCAUGCUUAGCAAUGCACGAGGUCUGGGGUUCAAUCCACAGUACCACCA
rnacentral:tRNA from 1 species